GAUGAACGCUGGCGGCGUGCCUAAUACAUGCAAGUCGAGCGAACAGACGAGGAUCUUUCUCCUCUGACGUUAGCGGCGGACGGGUGAGUAACACGUGGAUAACCUACCUAUAAGACUGGGAUAACUUCGGGAAACCGGAGCUAAUACCGGAUAAUAUAUUGAACCGCAUGGUUCAAUAGUGAAAGACGGUUUUGCUGUCACUUAUAGAUGGAUCCGCGCCGCAUUAGCUAGUUGGUAAGGUAACGGCUUACCAAGGCAACGAUGCGUAGCCGACCUGAGAGGGUGAUCGGCCACACUGGAACUGAGACACGGUCCAGACUCCUACGGGAGGCAGCAGUAGGGAAUCUUCCGCAAUGGGCGAAAGCCUGACGGAGCAACGCCGCGUGAGUGAUGAAGGUCUUCGGAUCGUAAAACUCUGUUAUUAGGGAAGAACAAAUGUGUAAGUAACUAUGCACGUCUUGACGGUACCUAAUCAGAAAGCCACGGCUAACUACGUG
rnacentral:rRNA from 1 species